rnacentral:rRNA from 1 species
UACAGAGGUCUCAAGCGUUGUUCGGAAUCACUGGGCGUAAAGGGUGUGUAGGCGGUGUGUUAAGUCAGAUGUGAAAGCCCGGGGCUCAACCUCGGAACUGCAUCCGAUACUGGCAUGCUAGAGAAUUGGAGAGGAGUCUAGAAUUCACGGUGUAGCAGUGAAAUGCGUAGAUAUCGUGAGGAAUACCAAGUGCGAAGGCAGGACUCUGGACAUUUUCUGACGCUGAGACACGAAGGCUAGGGGAGCAAACGGG